AACGAACGCUGGCGGCAGGCCUAACACAUGCAAGUCGAGCGGACCCUUCGUGGUUAGCGGCGGACGGGUGAGUAACGCGUGGGAAUAUGCCCUUCUCUACGGAAUAGUCCUGGGAAACUGGGGGUAAUACCGUAUACGCCCUUUGGGGGAAAGAUUUAUCGGGGAAGGAUUAGCCCGCGUUGGAUUAGGUAGUUGGUGGGGUAAUGGCCUACCAAGCCGACGAUCCAUAGCUGGUUUGAGAGGAUGAUCAGCCACACUGGGACUGAGACACGGCCCAGACUGCUACGGGAAGCAGCAGUGGGGAAUCUUAGACAAUGGGGGCAAACCUGAUAUAGCCAUGCGGCGUGAGUGAUGAAGGCCUUAGGGUUGUAAAGCUCUUUCAGCUGGGAAGAUAAUGACGGUACCAGCAGAAGAAGCACCGGCUAACUACGUG
rnacentral:rRNA from 1 species